CGAGUUCAUUCAAACUUGUUAAGCAGCAAAGGAAUGGAGCAGCAUUCAGAACUGUUGCAAGAAAGCAAGAGAGCCAGGCUUGGAGGCUGUGGACCCAGCAGCACGGUCCAGAGGAUCUCCGUGGCCGCUUCCCCUGACACCACACUGCCACUGGGCAGAGGCAGCCCACAUCCAGGCUGACACUGGACAACAAACACUGGAACGUCCACCCCUGCUGCCAGAAGCUCCAGUUGUCACUGUCAUCUGCCAAGAAAAAAAACUAUAAAUAAAAGACUCCAUGUGGCUCCUACUUUUCAGUUCCCUCUUCGAUGUGGGGUACCGGAUGGGCAGAGCCUGUCAUGGGCCUGCCGAGGAGCCAGGAUCACCAGGCCUCCGCUUUCCAGUGCCAGGGUUUGAAAGCAGAGCUCCAAACAGACAUGCUCUCUCUAAGGAAGCGACAUAUAAGUCAAGCAUGAAAGAUGAAGAGGAGCAGAUUGUAUGCAGAGCAGAGGGAAGAGCAAGCUGAUGGAGGAGACUAACCAGUGAGCUUGAUGGCCUUUUUGCUAUUUCUUGUAGACCCCAGAGAAUACCUUCCUUCCUAUCUGUGCAGUGAUUAUUCCACAAUGGGAGGACACGCUGAGCAUGAGAAGCCAGACUUUCUCCCAUCAAGCCCUGCACAACACUGUCCCCCGCCAACCAACCACCCUGGCCCAGUUUCUCAGAAGCAUGUGCUAUGAAGUUCUCUACGCUGCUGAAGAUUACCAGGAUGACAGAAACACAGAACCUGGGGGGCUUCCUGGUUCUCUUGGGAGGUGUCUCUUCUCUUCAGUCCCCUUCUUCUAAUGGGGCUAGAUUAGAUGAAGGGGACUGGUGAAUAGCUCUACAACCUAUUUGCCAUGUUAACAAGGUAGGCUACCUAGCUCCUCAGAGCUUGUAAGAUGAGAACAGCGUUUUUCUGAUUUGGCUGAUAUAAAGGUCUGCAUAGCACUAACAAGUUGUGUGGGUCCCUCCAGGUUCAUGUUUUACCUUUUUUUCUUUCUUUCUCUUUUUUUCUUAAUUGAGACAAGCUUUCACUAUGUUGCCCCGGCUGGUCUCUCAUGCCUGGGCUCAAGUGAUUCUCCCACCUUGGCCUCCCAAAGUGCUGAGAUUACAGAGUGAGCCAUCAUGUCUGCUCCCUGCCCCCUUCCUUUUUUUUUUUUUAGAAACAGGGUUUCACUCUGUCUUCCAGUCUGGAACAAGUGUGAUGGCACAGUCCUAGCUCACUGAGCCUCAAACUCCUGGUCUCAAGCAAUUAUCCUGCCUUAGCCUCCCAAGUAGCUGAGACUUCAGAUGUAUACCACCACACCCAGUUAAUUUUUUAAUCAUUUUUUGUAGAGGUGAAGUCUCACUAUGUUGCUCAGGCUGGUCUCACACUACUGGCUUCAAGUGAUUCUCCCACUUUGGCUUCCCAAAGUACUGAGAUUAUAGGUGUGAGCCACCUCACCUGGUUGUUUUACCCUUUUUGAUAGGUGCUACGCCCUGGGAGGUUGACCUAUAUGAAUGGUGUCAACAAGUUCUAUUGCCACCUGACUUUCUGUGGGAUAUGCUCAUAGAGGCACCAGAAGAUGACCAGAGUUGAGAGAAGAGGGAGACUCAGAAAUUUACUCACCACGCUCCCUCCUUGCCAGGUUAAAUGUAACCCCCAAAAGUUUAAAUGUAUCCUCCAAAAGCUCAUGUGCUGAAAAUUUCAUUGUCAAUGUAACAAUAUUAAGAUGUGGAGCAUUUAAGAGUUGAUUGGGUCAUGAGUGUAGAGCCCUUAUGAAUGGAUUCAUGCCAUUAAGGCAGAAAUUAGUUCUACUGAGACCAGAUUAUUACAAAAGUAAGCAUGACUCACUCUUGUGAUCUCUUUCUCACAGGCUCACUUGCCUUUUUGCUUUUCUGGCAUGUUAUGAUGUGGUACUAAAGCCCUUGCCAGAAGCUGCUGCCAUGCCCUUGGACUUCCCAGUCUCCAGAACCAUGAGCCAAAUAAACUUCUUUCCGCUAUAAAUUACUCA
rnacentral:lncRNA from 13 species